rnacentral:rRNA from 1 species
AACGAACGCUGGCGGCGUGCCUAACACAUGCAAGUCGAACGAGAAAGGGGCUUCGGCCCUGAGUAAAGUGGCGCACGGGUGAGUAACACGUAGGUAACCUGCCUCCAAGAUUGGGAUAACCCGUCGAAAGAUGGGCUAAUACCGGAUAAGACCACAGUUUCCUCGGAAGCAGGGGUCAAAGGUAGCCUCUAUUUAUAAGCUAUCACUUGGAGAUGGGCCUGCGCACCAUUAGCUAGUUGGUAGGGUAACGGCCUACCAAGGCAAAGAUGGUUAGCUGGUCUGAGAGGAUGAUCAGCCACACUGGAACUGAGACACGGUCCAGACUCCUACGGGAGGCAGCAGUGGGGAAUAUUGCGCAAUGGGCGAAAGCCUGACGCAGCAACGCCGCGUGAGUGAUGAAGGCCUUCGGGUCGUAAAGCUCUGUCGGAGGGAACGAACGUUUUCGGGGUUAACAGCCUCGGGAAGUGACGGUACCUUCAAAGGAAGCACCGGCUAACUCUGUGC